CCCUUGUCUUCUCCUCCACCUCCUCCAUGCUCCCAGCCUUCUCUCUCCUCCUUGUCUUCUCCUCCACCGCCUCCACCGUCAAAGAAAAGUCGAAAAGAAUGCAGGAAACACAGGACCCAGAAGGUGUUCCUCUAUGAGAGCAUUGUGGAAAGAAGAGUUUUUAAUCAAAGACAAGAAGUGAAAAUUCGCUGGACACCAUGCUCC